CCGUCGUACGGUAUCGUUAUGAGCAUGAUAUAUCAUGGUUAUGAGUUUAUGACCUAUGUUAUUUUAUUUACCUGUGAAGUUCCCAUGUAAAAUUUAAAGUAACAUAAUUGUCUUUAUCUUUGUUACUUCACUAAACUUUUUUACUUUAUACCGGACUGAAAUGCUGGAGUUUGAAACAAUAAUUCGUUCUAAGUUUCUGCACCUACAACUUGAAUAGGUUAGGAACAUUCUGUGUUGAAUGCUUUAAGUUAGGACGCCAUCAGCUGUGGAUCGCCAUCAUCUCGUCGUUGUUGUAUAUUGAUUAUCAAUAGUCAGGWUAUAAGUUUAUGUKGAUCAUAAAUUGUCUUUAUAUGAAAAAUCACGCRUGCAAAAUACUUUAAACUAUGGAUCACUUAUCUUUUGAUGUAUUUUGUUCAAAACUUGUCAACUGUGAAGCCCAAAUAUCAGUUAUUACAGAGAUCUUGGCAGAAAAUGACGCUAUAAAGUGAAUAAUUUAUAGUUACUAAUAUAAGGAUUUAGAUUUUUUCUUUUUUAAAUUUUUAUUCUUGU